rnacentral:rRNA from 1 species
AACUUUCAACAACGGAUCUCUUGGUUCCAGCAUCGAUGAAGAACGCGCGAAAUGCGAUAAAUAAUGUGAAUUGCAGAAUUCAGUGAAUCA